rnacentral:rRNA from 1 species
GAUGAACGCUGGCGGCGUGCCUAAUACAUGCAAGUCGAGCGAGCGGACGAGAAGCUUGCUUCUCUGAUGUUAGCGGCGGACGGGUGAGUAACACGUGGAUAACCUACCUAUAAGACUGGGAUAACUUCGGGAAACCGGAGCUAAUACCGGAUAAUAUUUUGAACCGCAUGGUUCAAAAGUGAAAGACGGUCUUGCUGACACUUAUAGAUGGAUCCGCGCUGCAUUAGCUAGUUGGUAAGGUAACGGCUUACCAAGGCAACGAUGCAUAGCCGACCUGAGAGGGUGAUCGGCCACACUGGAACUGAGACACGGUCCAGACUCCUACGGGAGGCAGCAGUAGGGAAUCUUCCGCAAUGGGCGAAAGCCUGACGGAGCAACGCCGCGUGAGUGAUGAAGGUCUUCGGAUCGUAAAACUCUGUUAUUAGGGAAGAACAUAUGUGUAAGUAACUGUGCACAUCUUGACGGUACCUAAUCAGAAAGCCACGGCUAACUACGUG